rnacentral:rRNA from 1 species
UAUGAACGCUGGCGGCAGGCCUAACACAUGCAAGUCGAACGGUAGCACAGAGAGCUUGCUCUCGGGUGACGAGUGGCGGACGGGUGAGUAAUGUCUGGGAAACUGCCCGAUGGAGGGGGAUAACUACUGGAAACGGUAGCUAAUACCGCAUAACGUCGCAAGACCAAAGUGGGGGACCUUCGGGCCUCACACCAUCGGAUGUGCCCAGAUGGGAUUAGCUAGUAGGUGGGAUAAUGGCUCACCUAGGCGACGAUCCCUAGCUGGUCUGAGAGGAUGACCAGCCACACUGGAACUGGGACACGGUCCAGACUCCUACGGGAGGCAGCAGUGGGGAAUAUUGCACAAUGGGCGCAAGCCUGAUGCAGCCAUGCCGCGUGUAUGAAGAAGGCCUUCGGGUUGUAAAGUACUUUCAGCGGGGAGGAAGGCGGUGAAGUUAAUAGCUUCACCGAUUGACGUUACCCGCAGAAGAAGCACCGGCUAACUCCGUGCCAGCCGCCGCAGUAA